GAGGUGGUAGAAACAGAAACAGGAGAUAGACUAGUGUCCCUGUCCAGGGAGGUGGUAGAAACAGAAACAGGAGAUAGACUAGUGUCCCUGUCCAGGAGGUGGUAGAGACAGAAACAGGAGAUAGACUAGUGUCCCUGUCCAGGGAGGUGGUAGAAACAGAAACAGGAGAUAGACUAGUGUCCCUGUCCAGGGAGGUGGUAGAAACAGAAACAGGAGAUAGACUAGUGUCCCUGUCCAGGGAGGUGGUAGAAACAGAAACAGGAGAUAGACUAGUGUCCUGUCCAGGAGGUGGUAGAAACAGAAACAGGAGAUAGACUAGUGUCCCUGUCCAGGGAGGUGGUAGAAACAGAAACAGGAGAU